rnacentral:rRNA from 1 species
GACGGAGGCCCCGAGCGUUGUUCGGAAUCACUGGGCUUAAAGCGCGUGUAGGCGGGACAAUAAGUACCUUGUGAAAUCCCCGGCUUCAACCCGGGAACUGCUCGGUAUACUGUUGUUCUUGAGGCAAGUAGGGGUUACUGGAACCUUAGGUGGAGCGGUGAAAUGCGUAGAUAUCUAAGGGAACGCCAGGGGCGAAAGCGGGUAACUGGGCUUGUCCUGACGCUGAGACGCGAAAGCGUAGGGAGCAAACGGG